rnacentral:misc_RNA from 1 species
GAUGAAGAACGCAGUGAAAUGCGAUAAGUAAUGUGAAUUGCAGAAUUCAGUGAAUCAUCGAAUCUUUGAACGCACCUUGCACCCUUUGGCAUUCCGAAGGGUAUGCUCGUUUGAGUGUCAUUGUACUCUCACACUCUCCGAUCCUAUGGAUUCGGGGAGCGGUGGACUUGGGUGUUGCUGCCUUUCCUUGUGGCUCACCUCAAAUGUGUCAGUGCACCUCUUGGUUGGACAUAGUACGGCGUGAUAAGUGUCUUCGCCGGCACCUCGCAAGAGGGUGGCCGAUCGGGAGCUCUGUGCUUUCAAACCGUCUUCGGACAAUUUCUGACAACUUGACCUCAAAUCGAGUAGGACUACCCGCUGAACUUAAGCAUAUCAAUAAGCGGAGGA